GUGGUAUGAUGAAUGUUAAGUUGCUUGACC
rnacentral:piRNA from 1 species